AUUGAACGCUGGCGGCAGGCCUAACACAUGCAAGUCGAGCGGAUGACGGGAGCUUGCUCCUUGAUUCAGCGGCGGACGGGUGAGUAAUGCCUAGGAAUCUGCCUGGUAGUGGGGGACCACGUUUCGAAAGGAACGCUAAUACCGCAUACGUCCUACGGGAGAAAGCAGGGGACCUUCGGGUCUCGCGCUAUCAGACGAGCCUAGGUCGGAUUAGCUAGUAGGUGAGGUAAUGGCUCACCUAGGCGACGAUCCGUAACUGGUCUGAGAGGAUGAUCAGUCACACUGGAACUGAGACACGGUCCAGACUCCUACGGGAGGCAGCGGUGGGGAAUAUUGGACAAUGGGCGAAAGCCUGAUCCAGCCAUGCCGCGUGUGUGAAGAAGGUCUUCGGAUUGUAAAGCACUUUAAGUUGGGAGGAAGGGCAGUAAGUUAAUACCUUGCUGUUUUGACGUUACCGACAGAAUAAGCACCGGCUAACUCUGUGCCAGCCGCCGCGGUAA
rnacentral:rRNA from 1 species